rnacentral:rRNA from 1 species
GAUGAACGCUGGCGGCGUGCCUAAUACAUGCAGGUCGAGCGAAUGGAUUAAGAGCUUGCUCUUAUGAAGUUAGCGGCGGACGGGUGAGUAACACGUGGGUAACCUGCCCAUAAGACUGGGAUAACUCCGGGAAACCGGGGCUAAUACCGGAUAACAUUUUGAACCGCAUGGUUCGAAAUUGGAAGGCGGCUUCGGCUGUCACUUAUGGAUGGACCCGCGUCGCAUUAGCUAGUUGGUGAGGUAACGGCUCACCAAGGCAACGAUGCGUAGCCGACAUGAGAGGGUGAUCGGCCACACUGGGACAGAGACACGGCCCAGACUCCUACGGGAGGCAGCAGUAGGGAAUCUUCCGCAAUGGACGAAAGUCUGACGGAGCAACGCCGCGUGAGUGAAGAAGGGUUUCGGCUCGUAAAACUCUGUUGUUAAGGAAGAACGCCAGGUAGAGUAACUGCUACCUGUGUGACGGUACUUAACCAGAAAGCCACGGCUAACUACGUGCCAGCAGCCGCGGUAA